rnacentral:rRNA from 1 species
AUUGAACGCUGGCGGCAUGCCUUACACAUGCAAGUCGAACGGUAACAGGUCUUCGGAUGCUGACGAGUGGCGAACGGGUGAGUAAUACAUCGGAACGUGCCCGAUCGUGGGGGAUAACGGAGCGAAAGCUUUGCUAAUACCGCAUACGAUCUACGGAUGAAAGCAGGGGACCGCAAGGCCUUGCGCGGACGGAGCGGCCGAUGGCAGAUUAGGUAGCUGGUGGGAUAAAAGCUUACCAAGCCGACGAUCUGUAGCUGGUCUGAGAGGACGACCAGCCACACUGGGACUGAGACACGGCCCAGACUCCUACGGGAGGCAGCAGUGGGGAAUUUUGAACAAUGGGCGAAAGCCUGAUCCAGCCAUGCCGCGUGAAGGAUGAAGGCCUUCGGGUUGUAAACUGCUUUUGUACGGAACGAAAAGACUCUUUCUAAUAAAGAGGGUCCAUGACGGUACCGUAAGAAUAAGCACCGGCUAACUACGUG